AUAUGUUUAAUGAUUUAUCAAAGAAUUAAAAGAUUACCAAGUACUCUUCAAUGGAUGUUCAUUUGAUUCUAGUAACCCUCUGUGAAGAAUGCAGAUUGAGCUCUUUUAAAAAAGCAUCAGAAAUCAAACUCAAAUGCAAGUGUUUGUCUAUGACCAUCCAAGUGAUAAAAGCUCCAUCCGCAGAAGUAGCAAACCUACUUAUCACAGAGCAAGGGUUGAACAGUCAGAGAACAGAAGCCCAGGAGAAAGAGGAAAAGUCUCACAACAGCACACGAGGUAACCUGACAUCCCUUUAGCCACUGACCACAGUAUCCCAAUGGUACCUCGACUGAGAACAAGAUUGGAGACAAACUGUGGUAACCCUGCGCCUACUUCCUCAAGCUAAAGUAUAGAUUUUAGAGGGAAGCUUUUUUUCCAAAGGGACUGUUGGAGUUCAACAAUGACUUGUUCCCAUGUGUCAAGAAUUCCUGCAAAAAUGGCUCCAGGACAAAAGAAGCAACUCCUGGAAGACACCCUCUUCCUGAGAUCAGAAGAAUUUAUGGAGCUGUACUAUACCUCACCAUCUGGAGUGGCUAUAAAAUAAAUUGAAAUCACCAUUGUUG
rnacentral:lncRNA from 1 species